rnacentral:rRNA from 1 species
GUGCCAGCAGCCGCGGUAAUACAGAGGUGGCAAGCGUUGUUCGGAAUCACUGGGCAUAAAGGGCGCGUAGGCGGCGAGGCAAGUCGGGUGUGAAAUCCCUCAGCUCAACUGAGGAACUGCGCCCGAAACUACCUUGCUAGAGUGCAGGAGAGGAGAGUGGAACUCCUAGUGGAGCGGUGAAAUGCGUAGAGAUUAGGAGGAACGCCGGUGGCGAAAGCGACUCUCUGGCCUGUAACUGACGCUGAGGCGCGAAAGCUAGGGGAGCAAACGGGAUUAGAAACCCGCGUAGUCC